GACUUUAAUAUAAAGAUAUUUUGAAAAUAUCUUAAAAGAAAUAUUCUUUGAAGUCA
rnacentral:tRNA from 1 species